rnacentral:rRNA from 1 species
UACGAAGGGAGCUAGCGUUGUUCGGAAUCACUGGGCGUAAAGCGCGCGUAGGCGGAUUUGUCAGUCAGGGGUGAAAUCCCGGGGCUCAACCUCGGAACUGCCUCUGAUACAGCAAGUCUUGAGUCCGAUAGAGGUGGGUGGAAUUCCUAGUGUAGAGGUGAAAUUCGUAGAUAUUAGGAAGAACACCGGUGGCGAAGGCGGCCCACUGGAUCGGUACUGACGCUGAGGUGCGAAAGCGUGGGGAGCAAACAGG